AGUGAACGCUGGCGGUAGGCCUAACACAUGCAAGUCGAACGGCAGCACAGUAAGAGCUUGCUCUUACGGUUGGCGAGUGGCGGACGGGUGAGGAAUACAUCGGAAUCUACUUUUUCGUGGGUGAUAACGUAGGGAAACUUACGCUAAUACCGCAUACGACCUACGGGUUAAAGCAGGGGAUCUUCGGACCUUUCGCGAUUGAAUGAGCCGAUGUCGGAUUAGCUAGUUGGCUGGGUAAAGGCCCACCAAGGCGACGAUCCGUAGCUGGUCUGAGAGGAUGAUCAGCCACACUGGAACUGAGACACGGUCCAGACUCCUACGGGAGGCAGCAGUGGGGAAUAUUCGACAAUGGGCGCAAGCCUGAUCCAGCAAUACCGCGUGGGUGAAGAAGGUCUUCGGGUUGUAAAGCCCUUUUGUUGGGGAAGAAAAGAAGCAGGUUAAUCCCCCGCUGUUCUGACGGUACCUAAAGAGUAAGCAACGGCUAACUUCGUG
rnacentral:rRNA from 1 species